UGGGGAAUCUUGCGCUAAUGCGGGAACCCGUGACGCAGCGACGCCGCGUGAGGGAAGAAGGCCUUCGGGUUGUAAACCUCUUUCAGGAGGGACGAAGCCACUCGGGUUAAUAGCCCAGAGGGUGACGGUACCUCCAGAAGAAGCCCCGGCUAACUACGUGCCAGCAGCCGCGGUAAUACGUAGGGGGCAAGCGUUGUCCGGAUUUAUUGGGCGUAAAGAGCGUGUAGGCGGUUAGAUAGGUCCGUUGUGAAAACUCGAGGCUCAACCUCGAGACGUCGAUGGAAACCAUCUGGCUAGAGUCCGGAAGAGGAGAGUGGAAUUCCUGGUGUAGCGGUGAAAUGCGCAGAUAUCAGGAAGAACACCCGUGGCGAAGGCGGCUCUCUGGUACGUGACUGACGCUGAGACGCGAAAGCGUGGGGAGCAAACA
rnacentral:rRNA from 1 species